GAUGAACGCUGGCGGCGUGCCUAAUACAUGCCAGUCGAGCGAACGGACGAGAAGCUUGCUUCUCUGAUGUUAGCGGCGGACGGGUGAGUAACACGUGGAUAACCUACCUAUAAGACUGGGAUAACUUCGGGAAACCGUAGCUAAUACCGGAUAAUAUUUUGAACCGCAUGGUUCAAAAGUGAAAGACGGUCUUGCUGUCACUUAUAGAUGGAUCCGCGCUGCAUUAGCUAGUUGGUAAGGUAACGGCUUACCAAGGCAACGAUGCAUAGCCGACCUGAGAGGGUGAUAGGCCACACUGGAACUGAGACACGGUCCAGACUCCUACGGGAGGCAGCAGUAGGGAAUCGGCCGCAAUGGGCGAAAGCCUGACGGAGCAACGCCGCGUGAGUGAUGAAGGUCUUCGGAUCGUAAAACUCUGUUAUUAGGGAAGAACAUAUGUGGAAGUAACUGUGCACAGCUUGACGGUACCUAAUCAGAAAGCCACGGCUAACUACGUG
rnacentral:rRNA from 1 species